rnacentral:lncRNA from 1 species
GAUGAUUAGCUUAACUCUGUGGAUGUUUUGAUAUAGAUGUGUGAGCGGAGUUGUUGACAGUCCCUGCGUAGUGACGAUAUGCAGGAGGGAAAGAGCCAAGCGAGCACAUAAUCUCUGUGAUAGUUAGUGAAGGCAACACCUAUUUGUGUAGUAUAUGCAUAUUCAUGUGAACCUAGAUCCUAGAGAGGAAACACAUAUCUAUCUCUGUUAUCUAUCUUGUAUCAUCCUUUGCUUCUU